AGCGUACACGGUGGAUGCCCUGGCAGUCAGAGGCGAUGAAGGGCGUGCUAAUCUGCGAUAAGCGCCGGUAAGGUGAUAUGAACCGUUAUAACCGGCGAUACCCGAAUGGGGAAACCCAGUGUGACUCGUCACACUAUCAUUAACUGAAUCUAUAGGUUAAUGAGGCGAACCGGGGGAACUGAAACAUCUAAGUACCCCGAGGAAAAGAAAUCAACCGAGAUUCCCCCAGUAGCGGCGAGCGAACGGGGAGAAGCCCAGAGCCUGAAUCAGCAUGUGUGUUAGUGGAAGCGUCUGGAAAGGCGCGCGAUACAGGGUGACAGCCCCGUACACAAAAGCGCAUGUGCUGUGAGCUCGAUGAGUAGGGCGGGACACGUGGUAUCCUGUCUGAAUAUGGGGGGACCAUCCUCCAAGGCUAAAUACUCCUGACUGACCGAUAGUGAACCAGUACCGUGAGGGAAAGGCGAAAAGAACCCCGGCGAGGGGAGUGAAAAAGAACCUGAAACCGUGUACGUACAAGCAGUGGGAGCACCCUUCGGGGUGUGACUGCGUACCUUUUGUAUAAUGGGUCAGCGACUUAUAUUCUGUAGCAAGGUUAACCGUAUAGGGGAGCCGCAGGGAAACCGAGUCUUAACCGGGCGUUAAGUUGCAGGGUAUAGACCCGAAACCCGGUGAUCUAGCCAUGGGCAGGUUGAAGGUUGGGUAACACUAACUGGAGGACCGAACCGACUAAUGUUGAAAAAUUAGCGGAUGACCUGUGGCUGGGGGUGAAAGGCCAAUCAAACCGGGAGAUAGCUGGUUCUCCCCGAAAGCUAUUUAGGUAGCGCCUCGUGAAUUCAUCUCCGGGGGUAGAGCACUGUUUCGGCUAGGGGGCCAUCCCGGCUUACCAACCCGAUGCAAACUGCGAAUACCGGAGAAUGUUAUCACGGGAGACACACGGCGGGUGCUAACGUCCGUCGUGAAGAGGGAAACAACCCAGACCGCCAGCUAAGGUCCCAAAGUCAUGGUUAAGUGGGAAACGAUGUGGGAAGGCCCAGACAGCCAGGAUGUUGGCUUAGAAGCAGCCAUCAUUUAAAGAAAGCGUAAUAGCUCACUGGUCGAGUCGGCCUGCGCGGAAGAUGUAACGGGGCUAAACCAUGCACCGAAGCUGCGGCAGCGAACGUAUCACUUAAAGCGAUUCAGCGGGUUACGAUUGACGGAGCGAAGCGACGUCAAAGCGUAUACAAAGUCGAGUCGGUUUAAGGAUACGUUCGUUGGGUAGGGGAGCGUUCUGUAAGCCUGUGAAGGUGUGUCGUGAGGCAUGCUGGAGGUAUCAGAAGUGCGAAUGCUGACAUAAGUAACGAUAAAGCGGGUGAAAAGCCCGCUCGCCGGAAGACCAAGGGUUCCUGUCCAACGUUAAUCGGGGCAGGGUGAGUCGACCCCUAAGGCGAGGCCGAAAGGCGUAGUCGAUGGGAAACGGGUUAAUAUUCCCGUACUUGGUGUUACUGCGAAGGGGGGACGGAGAAGGCUAUGUUGGCCGGGCGACGGUUGUCCCGGUUUAAGCGUGUAGGUGUGUGUUCCAGGUAAAUCCGGUUCACUUUAACACUGAGGCGUGAUGACGAGGCACUACGGUGCUGAAGCAACAAAUGCCCUGCUUCCAGGAAAAGCCUCUAAGCAUCAGGUAACAUCAAAUCGUACCCCAAACCGACACAGGUGGUCAGGUAGAGAAUACCAAGGCGCUUGAGAGAACUCGGGUGAAGGAACUAGGCAAAAUGGUGCCGUAACUUCGGGAGAAGGCACGCUGACACGUAGGUGAAGUGAUUUACUCAUGGAGCUGAAGUCAGUCGAAGAUACCAGCUGGCUGCAACUGUUUAUUAAAAACACAGCACUGUGCAAACACGAAAGUGGACGUAUACGGUGUGACGCCUGCCCGGUGCCGGAAGGUUAAUUGAUGGGGUCAGCGCAAGCGAAGCUCCUGAUCGAAGCCCCGGUAAACGGCGGCCGUAACUAUAACGGUCCUAAGGUAGCGAAAUUCCUUGUCGGGUAAGUUCCGACCUGCACGAAUGGCGUAAUGAUGGCCAGGCUGUCUCCACCCGAGACUCAGUGAAAUUGAACUCGCUGUGAAGAUGCAGUGUACCCGCGGCAAGACGGAAAGACCCCGUGAACCUUUACUAUAGCUUGACACUGAACAUUGAGCCUUGAUGUGUAGGAUAGGUGGGAGGCUUUGAAGUGUGGACGCCAGUCUGCAUGGAGCCGACCUUGAAAUACCACCCUUUAAUGUUUGAUGUUCUAACGUGGACCCGUGAUCCGGGUUGCGGACAGUGUCUGGUGGGUAGUUUGACUGGGGCGGUCUCCUCCUAAAGAGUAACGGAGGAGCACGAAGGUUGGCUAAUCCUGGUCGGACAUCAGGAGGUUAGUGCAAUGGCAUAAGCCAGCUUGACUGCGAGCGUGACGGCGCGAGCAGGUGCGAAAGCAGGUCAUAGUGAUCCGGUGGUUCUGAAUGGAAGGGCCAUCGCUCAACGGAUAAAAGGUACUCCGGGGAUAACAGGCUGAUACCGCCCAAGAGUUCAUAUCGACGGCGGUGUUUGGCACCUCGAUGUCGGCUCAUCACAUCCUGGGGCUGAAGUAGGUCCCAAGGGUAUGGCUGUUCGCCAUUUAAAGUGGUACGCGAGCUGGGUUUAGAACGUCGUGAGACAGUUCGGUCCCUAUCUGCCGUGGGCGCUGGAGAACUGAGGGGGGCUGCUCCUAGUACGAGAGGACCGGAGUGGACGCAUCACUGGUGUUCGGGUUGUCAUGCCAAUGGCACUGCCCGGUAGCUAAAUGCGGAAGAGAUAAGUGCUGAAAGCAUCUAAGCACGAAACUUGCCCCGAGAUGAGUUCU
rnacentral:rRNA from 1 species